rnacentral:rRNA from 1 species
UGGUGGGAUACUACCCUGGCUGUAUGACCAUUCUAACCCGCCACGCUUAGCGCGUGGGGAGACAGUGUCAGGUGGGCAGUUUGACUGGGGCGGUCGCCUCCUAAAGAGUAACGGAGGCGCCCAAAGGUUCCCUCAGAAUGGAUGGAAAUCAUUCGCAGAGUGUAAAGGCACAAGGGAGCUUGACUGCGAGACUGACAAGUCGAGCAGGGACGAAAGUCGGGCUUAGUGAUCCGGUGGUUCCGCAUGGAAGGGCCAUCGCUCAACGGAUAAAAGCUACCCCGGGGAUAA